UGGAGGAACAUCAGGACAAAUAUGAAAAGGAUUCCACAGCCCAAAACUGGAAGAAAAUGCUACAAAGUACACUCAAAGCAACUUUUUCAUUACAUUUUAACGAUUUGUCUUUUAUUGACGAUAUGAUAAGUGUGAGCUUACAAAUAAAGUUUAACGACCAAAAUUAUAGGACAUUAUCUCAAGGAGAAAUGAAUACAAAUAAUCCUAUAGGAUGGUAUGUGUACAAACAACACACUCAUGCAACAAAUGGAAACCAACAAAGGGUCCAAAUAUGUAGAGGUUACCCAAACCAACAGUCAAAAGUUAAGAUAAUUCUACUCCUUUUUGUAUAUGUCCCAAAACAGUCUUGGAACUGGGAAGCUAGCAGUACUUAGUAAGAGGAAGCAAAGUAGAAGUAAUAACAAUUUUAGAAAUUUAUGCCUUAGUACCAUUUAGUCCCUGGCAACCCAAAGUAGUGUAAUUACUCAUUCUAAUUCAUGGUACUCCAUAUCAUCUUAAGGACAAAUGCCUAAGAACUAAAUAAAUAAAGCAAUGCCAAACUAAAUUAAAUUAUUGAUGAAUAAUUUAGCAAAACUUUAUUUCAUCCAAAAUAUUCAAAACCCAACAGAGAAUAUCUAUAUCCAUCUGUCAAGUUUAAAAAAAAACAAAGAUAUAGAAGUAAGUUCUAGGUAGUUGGGAACUCCCAUUUUAAGUCCUAACUCCAGUAUGGAUUACUGCUAUGUAACUUAAUGUGGGAGAGCUGCCUGCAACAAGAGAAUGUUCCUUGGUUUGUCUAUAGUCAAAUGGCUAGUAGGUAGUAGAGGUAAUACAUGAACCCAAAUAUUGCUAAUUCAAAGGUCAAUCUACCCCAUAAUAUCUUUCCAUGUCAAAUUAAUAUACAAAAUUUUGCUGUAUCCUAGAAAAAUAAGAGGCUUCUAAAUUGCAAGUUCCCAAAAGAAUAAUUAUUAAACUGGAUACUUACACUAGAAUUUUAAUUAUCAAAGUCCUUAAACUGUUAAUUAGGAAAAAAAUAUCACAUUAAAUAUCCCUGAAAAGAAUUAACACAAAUAUUUACUUUUUCCCAAAAGGUAUGAAUAGUUCAAAUGAAGAACUGAAAACCAGUAACAACUCUUAUGGGAAAAAAAUCAUAUAUGCUUCAACUUCACAAAGAGCAAAUUAGCAAAAAUGACAAAAAGGCUGACUGAUUUCAUUUUCAAGAGCUACAAGACAGACACAUUAAUACACUUGGUAGAGCUGGGAUUGGUCCAACUGUUCUAGAAAGGAAUUUAGAAUCAUGUUAAAAAAUGACCAAAAUGUCUAUACCCAUUAACGCAGUGUGCUACUAGACACAGACUCAAGGAGGUCAAAAACAAAAAGCUCCCUAUACACCAAAAUAUUCAUAGAAGCCCUGUUUGUUAUAGCAAAAAUUGGAAACAAAAAGAAGUUCCAUGAACUAAGGAAUGGCUAAACAAACUGGUAAAUAUGAAUGUAAUGCAAUAUCACUGCACUUUAAAAAAGGCUAAAUAUGAAGAAUUCAGAGAAGCAUGAAAAGACUUAUAUGAACCAAGCCAGGAAAACAAUGACUAUAGCAAUAAAAAGAUGGAAAUUAAAAAAAAAUAAAUAAAUAACAAUUUUCUUGGUCCUGGAGAAUUGAGAAAAUAUACUUUCCUUAUUUCUAUCUAGAUAUGAGGAACUAUAGAUCUUACUAAAUUGCAAAUGCUAUCCAAUUCAGUUGGUGACUUGGCUCAUUAUGCUGAAGUUCUUUCUCUGUUUAUGACAGCAUUCUGGUCAGGCAAAGGGGGGAAGAGAGAUUGAUAUGGAAAAUUUAUGUACAAAAAAAAAAGUAACAAUUUCUAAAAUCACCUUUGUGUAAUGCAAUUUUACCAUCACUUCAAUUAAAAAAAAGGUUAUUUCUACUCAGAUUUCUUAUGAAUUUUCAUAACCUUCCAUAUCCCAUCAAUGUUUAAUUUUUCAAUUUCCCAUAAUCAGUCUAUUCUCUCCUUCCCAAUUCCUUGCUGCUACUCCUAACUACACAUACCACACACACACACACACACAUACACACAAGAUGAGGAGCCAGAGACAGAAAAAGAAAAUGAAAGAAAUAAGUAUUCAUCAAUUGCUCAAAGCAAAUAAAUGCCUGAAAGCAAGCCUAGUGUUUUUGAUAAACUUAGGAGAAUGAAAAUUAUGCAAAAGUCACUGAAAAAAAAUCACAAAAUCUUAAAAAGGAGCUGGUGAUGAACUACUAGUUCAAUUCAUACCUCAAAAAUCAAGCAUAUUAAAAUAUAAGAUCCUUUAAAGUUUAUUUUGUUCACUGUAUCUCAACUGACUGAUAAAAUGCAAAAAAAAAAAGCAUAAGAGGCCUUAAUAAAUGCUUAAAUGAAUCAUCUAAACAAUAAACAUCCUUCCCAAGUGAUCAUCCAGCCUAAAAUUAAGACUCCAAUUCCUCCUAGUAACAGAAUUUACUAAUUUCUGAAUAAAGUUUUUUGCUUCACUACUGAUCAACUAUUCCCGUGUGUGUGUGUGUGUGUGUGUGUGUGUGUGUGCGUGUGUAUGUGUGUGAGAGAGAGAGAAUAAAGAGAUGGAGAUGGAGAGAGGGAGAACAGAAUAGUUAUAACAGCACUUUUUACAGUAUCAAAGAACUGAAACAAGAUAAAUAUCUACCAAUUAGGAAACACCUAAACAAGUUAUAGCACAUAAAUAUGAAUUUAGAAAAAAUGGAAAGACAAAUAAUUGACGCAAAACAAGGAAAACAAUGACACAAUGUAAAUGGGACAAGAACAAAAUAACUAAAACUUGUUUCAAAAUUGUGAUGAGCAAACUUAGACUCAAAAAAAAAAAAGAUAUGAAAAGGCAUCUCCCCAACCUUUUUCAAAAGUAGAAAAAUACAGAUGUGUAAUAAUGCUUACAUUUUCAACCUGAAACUUUUCAAUGUUGGUCCUUGUAAGCAACCUCCCCUUUUUUUUUUUUUGCCAAACAGAUUGAUUUUCUGGGAUCAAGAAUAAAUGUAAUCUUUUUUCCUUGUCAGAUACUUGAAAAUAAAAGUAUCAUGUCUCCCGAGUCCUCUCCAACUCUUAAAAAAAAUCUCAGUGAUAAACUAAACCAAGCACUAUAAGAAGAGUGCUAGAACUUAAAGUUCCUUUCAUUCACCACAUUCCCAAUGCCUAACACAUUGCAGGGCAGUUCUUGGGUCAUCCUUCAAGGCAGAGAGGUAGAAUAUUGAAUUAAGCAUUGAACUUAGAAUCGAAAAGACCCAAGUUUGAAUACCCUUCUCAGGCAUUUACUAGCUGUCUGACACUUAACCUGUCUCAGGCUGCUUCUUAACUCACACAGGAUUGUUGAGGAGCAAAUGAGAGGAAAAAUGUAAAAUUCUUUUGCAAAACCAGAAAAGCUGCAUAUUAACUAUGGUUAUUAUCCCCACUUAAUUCUAGUUC
rnacentral:lncRNA from 1 species